rnacentral:rRNA from 1 species
UACGUAGGGGGCUAGCGUUGUUCGGAAUUACUGGGCGUAAAGGGCGCGUAGGCGGCGCGAUAAGUUGGGCGUGAAAGGCCCGGGCUCAACCCGGGGACUGCGCUUGAUACUGUCGCGCUGUGAGUCCGGGAGAGGAUGGCGGAAUUCCCAGUGUAGAGGUGAAAUUCGUAGAUAUUGGGAAGAACACCGGUGGCGAAGGCGGGUCUCUGGGCAACAACUGACGCUGAGGAGCGAAAGCGUGGGGAGCGAACAGG